CCUACGGGUGGCAGCAGUCGAGAAUAAUUCACAAUGGGGGAAACCCUGAUGGUGCGACGCCGCGUGGGGGAAUGAAGUUCUUCGGAUUGUAAACCCCUUCCAUGUGGGAGCAAAUUAAAAAGAUAGUACCCCCAGAGGAAGACACGGCUAACUCUGUGCCAGCAGCCGCGGUAAGACAGAGGUCGCAAGCGUUGUUCGGAAUCACUGGGAGUAAAGCGUGCGUAGGCGGUUUAGUAAGUCGGGUGUGAAAGGCUCGGGCUCAAGCCGCGGACGGCACAUGAUACUGGUAGACUAGAGUAAUGGAGGGGGAACCGGAAUUCCCGGUGUAGCAGUGAAAUGCGUAGAGAUCGGGAGGAACACUGGUGGCGAAGGCGGGUUCCUGGACAGUAACUGACGCUGAGGCACGAAGGCGAGGGGAGCGAAAGGGAUUAGAUACCCCGGUAGUC
rnacentral:rRNA from 1 species